GUUGUAGUAGCUCAAUCGGUAGAGCGUGUGGCUCUUAGCAAAGACCAACCUCAAGGUUGCGGGUUCGAGUCCCGCCUUCGGCUC